AGAAUGAACGCUGGCGGCGUGCUUUACACAUGCAAGUUGAGCGAGGCCACCCGCAAGGGUGAGUCGAGCGGCGAACGGGUGAGUAACGCGUGGAUAACCUGCCCUGAGGUGGGGAAUAACCCGAGGAAACUCGGGCUAAUACCGCAUGAUACCAAGCGGUCAAAGAGGGCUCGCAAGAGCUCUUGCCACAGGAGGGGUCCGCGUUCGAUUAGCUAGUUGGUAGGGUAAUGGCCUACCAAGGCGACGAUCGAUAGCCGGCCUGAGAGGGUGAUCGGCCACACUGGAACUGAGACACGGUCCAGACUCCUACGGGAGGCAGCAGUGGGGAAUUUGCGCAAUGGGCUAACGCCUGACGCAGCAACGCCGCGUGGAGGAUGAAGGUCUUUGGAUUGUAAACUCCUGUCAGCAAGGAAAAGCAAAGAGACCUAAUACGUCUUUGAGUUGAUUGUACUGCAGAGAAGCCCGCUAACUCUGCGCCAGUACGCCG
rnacentral:rRNA from 1 species